ACUUAGUUACCAGCACGUAAUGGUGGGGGACUCUAGGUAAACUGCCUGCGCAAGCAGAGAGGAAGGUGGGGAUGACGUCAAAUCAGCACGGCCCUUACGUCCAGGGCCACACACGUGCUACAAUGGCCGAUACAGAGGGCAGCUACCUGGUGACAGGAUGCAAAUCUCGAAAGUCGGUCUCAGUUCGGAUCGGAGUCUGCAACUCGACUCCGUGAAGUUGGAUUCGCUAGUAAUCGCGCAUCAGCCAUGGCGCGGUGAAUACGUUCCCGGGCCUU
rnacentral:rRNA from 1 species